rnacentral:rRNA from 1 species
AGUAAAGUGGCGUACGGGUGAGUAACACGUGGAUAAUCUACCUCUUAGUGGGGAAUAACUUUGGGAAACCGAAGCUAAUACCGCAUAAGCCUGGAAAGGGAAAGCAGCAAUGCGCUGAGAGAGGAGUCCGCGGCCGAUUAGCUAGUUGGCAGGGUAAAAGCCUACCAAGGCAUUGAUCGGUAGCCGGCCUGAGAGGGCACACGGCCACACUGGCACUGAAACACGGGCCAG